rnacentral:rRNA from 1 species
GAUGAACGCUGGCGGCGUGCCUAAUACAUGCAAGUCGAACGGAAGGACGAGAAUCUUGCUUCUCUGAUGUUAGCGGCGGACGGGUGAGUAACGCGUGUAUCCCCUCCCUGACAGACUGGUAUCACUUCGGGAAACCGUAGCUAAUACCGUAUGAUCUUUUGAACCACAUUGUUCAAAGGUGAAAUACGGUGUUUGCGGCGGUUGGGGAUGGAUCCGCGCUUGAUCAGCUGGUUGGUGGGGUAGCGGCUUACCAAGGCUAUGAUGGAUAGCCGGCCUGAGAGGGUGACCGGCCACAUUGGGACUGAGAUACGGCCCAGACUCCUACGGGAGGCAGCAGUGGGGAAUAUUGCACAAUGGGCGGAAGCCUGAUGCAGCAACGCCGCGUGCGGGAUGACGGCCUUCGGGUUGUAAACCGCUUUCGCCUGUGACGAAGCGUGAGUGACGGUAAUGGGUAAAGAAGCACCGGCUAACUACGUG